rnacentral:rRNA from 1 species
UACGUAGGGUGCAAGCGUUGUCCGGAAUUAUUGGGCGUAAAGGGCUCGUAGGCGGUUUGUCGCGUCAGGAGUGAAAACUCGGGGCUUAACCCCGAGCCUGCUUCUGAUACGGGCAGACUAGAGGUAUGCAGGGGAGAACGGAAUUCCUGGUGUAGCGGUGAAAUGCGCAGAUAUCAGGAGGAACACCGGUGGCGAAGGCGGUUCUCUGGGCAUUACCUGACGCUGAGGAGCGAAAGUGUGGGGAGCGAACAGG